UGGGGAAUAUUGGACAAUGGGCGAAAGCCUGAUCCAGCAAUGCCGCGUGAGUGAUGAAGGCCUUAGGGUUGUAAAGCUCUUUUACCCGGGAUGAUAAUGACAGUACCGGGAGAAUAAGCCCCGGCUAACUCCGUGCCAGCAGCCGCGGUAAUACGGAGGGGGCUAGCGUUGUUCGGAAUCACUGGGCGUAAAGCGCACGUAGGCGGCUCUUUAAGUCAGGGGUGAAAUCCUGGAGCUCAACUCCAGAACUGCCUUUGAUACUGAGGGGCUCGAGUCCGGGAGAGGUGAGUGGAACUGCGAGUGUAGAGGUGAAAUUCGUAGAUAUUCGCAAGAACACCAGUGGCGAAGGCGGCUCACUGGCCCGGUACUGACGCUGAGGUGCGAAAGCGUGGGGAGCAAAC
rnacentral:rRNA from 1 species